rnacentral:snoRNA from 1 species
AUGUCGUGAUGAGGGCACUUUCGUAAUAACUCCUUGAACCGCUCCCUUGAACCGCUCUCAUGCCUCAUAUAAAGAUUCUUCAUCAAGUUGCUGAAAUGAUGUGAUUUCAUUUCAGAUCUU